AGAAGAAGCUCCUUUCUUCCAUAUUAUCAUCAUUUUACGGUGAAUCGAAGAGCUAAAUGCACCAACGAGGGAUUAUCAAGUAAGUAAAGCGAGAGCUUUCUCGGCGAUAGCCGAAAUGGAAGAGAAAGGGAUCCGGAGUGACUAGAACAUUAAGAUGGAAAAAGGGCUUAUGCUCAUAAGCCUGUCAGGUUAGUCGGCAUUGGGGAGUAUCGGUCGAUGUUUAUUCAAGUCUGCGUCAGUGCUGCAUCAUCGUCGGGUCACUGAACGUUAUCUAUGGUAUA